rnacentral:rRNA from 1 species
AGGAUUAGCGACUGGGGUGAAGUCGUAACAAGGUAGCCGUAGGGGAACCUGCGGCUGGAUCACCUCCUUU